AGAACGAACGCUGGCGGCAUGCCUAACACAUGCAAGUCGAACGAGACCCCCGUCUUCGGAUGGCGGGUCUAGUGGCGCACGGGUGCGUAACGCGUGGGAAUCUGCCCUUGGGUACGGAAUAACAGUUAGAAAUGACUGCUAAUACCGUAUAAUGACUUCGGUCCAAAGAUUUAUCGCCCAGGGAUGAGCCCGCGUAGGAUUAGCUUGUUGGUGAGGUAAAAGCUCACCAAGGCGACGAUCCUUAGCUGGUCUGAGAGGAUGAUCAGCCACACUGGGACUGAGACACGGCCCAGACCUCCUACGGGAGGCAGCAGUGGGGAAUAUUGGACAAGUGGGACGAAAGCCUGACUCCAGCAAGUGCCGCGUGAGUGAUGGAAGCCGUUAGGGUUAGUAAAGUCUUCGUUUGCCGGUAUGAGUAA
rnacentral:rRNA from 1 species